rnacentral:lncRNA from 1 species
UCUGUGCAACCCCAGGCUUUAACGAGAUGAACGUUGCUGACCCAGAGCUGCUUUGUUCAGUUUCUUUACAAGAGCCAGAAUCAUUAUAAACUCACCUGAACUGAGAGAGUCACUUGGCAGACUUCUGAUGUUUGAACCUUACUAAUGAAAGCAGUGAUAUAUAGGGACAACUACCAUUUAAUUGUAGGAAUUCACACUGAGAAAAGUGAUUGCUUGCAACUCACAUGUAUUCACGUAGUUUAUAAUUCCCCCAAACAAGUCUCUGCCAGAGACGCUGCUGCACCAUUUGCAGGGCAAGAACAGAAAAAGCACAAAAAAGUCUGUCCCACAUGUGUGUCAAAGAAAUGAGAACACACCAUCUACUUUGCCAGUGAUAGAGGGUCUGCUCUCCCCACUCUGGCAUGCACACUGGAAGUGUCCCCCAUCUGAGGAAGGACAUGGUGGAGAAUGAACUUAGGGAGUAUUUGGGACAAAGUAAAAUUUAUUAAAUGUUUGCUUAUAUUCUCCAGUAUUGCAAAAUGCAAAGAGAGGUAGAGUCUGUGACAAGUCUCCUCUCAAACAGAUAGAAAAACCUUGAGUCACUCUUUGGAAUAGCAUUUUGGUAAAGAACAAACUCUUGCAGGGAAUUGGGUUAAUCAGGGAAAUGAUUAGAAGUUAUUUUGGAGACAAGGCUGGUGAAUAAGAUUAAUAAUGCCACUGGCAGAGGGCAUAUUCUAGGCCAGAAAUGAAAUGUACAGGGGAGCAGGGAUUGUUACUAUGUUAGAGAGAGAGAGGGGGGAGAAUGAUUGAAAAUGUGAAAGCAUCAGAUGAAGAGUAAACUCACUACACAAUUCCAUAUUGGCUCUAAAUUCAAUGCUAAAAAGAAAACUGCCAAAAAUAUUUUGAGAAAUGAUGGUGAUAGCAACAGGAGACAGACAAAUUCCUAGGCAGACAGGGAUGAGUCCCUGGUGAAACCUGAUCUUCAAGCCAAGAACAGUUUAAAAUCUGAAAACCAAGCUGCCAGUUCCAGAUAGAGUCCAUGACCAGAGUGAGAACUUCCAUCCCCAUCUUACCCUCUCUCUCUCUAUUGAUUCCUUCUGAAUGAUGCCUUUUAACCAAUCGAAUGGUGCUUUCCGAGACCACCCAUGGGCCAAUCAGCAUGCACUCCCCCAUUGUAAGCCCAUAAAAACCCUGGACUCAGUCUCACAGAGGGCUACCCACUUCCAGGUCUCCUCUCACAUCUGAGAGCUUUCUUUCUGUCACUCGAUAAAAUUCUACUCUGCCUUACUCACUCUCUGUUGUCUGUGUACCUUAUUCCUUUUGGUUGCAGGACAAGAACCUGGAACUCACCAACCUGUGGGAGUGAAAGAGCUGUAAUGCUUCCGUUUGCCAAGCUGCAGGCAGCAGGAAUAAAAGAGCUGUAACCCUCUCUCCUGCUCAAUGAACAACAGGAGAGAAGAAGCUGCUGGGUGCCACUCCCUCCUGCUUGCCAAACUACAGGAGUUAAAAAGCCCCAACAAUGUCCACCCAUUCAGGCUCAAGGCACUGGGUGCCACAUUAAAAGCCUCUGCAACGACACACUGUGAUCUAGGGAGCUUCCCCAGGUCUCAACCUGACCUUCUGUUCUGACCAUUUGCCUCAUACUCUGACCAUGUGGCUCCCGAUCCUGAGCUGAUUCUCUUGGGCUGCCUCCUGAUUCUAGGCCUUGAUUCUGAUCAUGAAAACUCAUGGGAAACGACGUCUGGCAGAUCAUUCCACCCCACCUCUGACUAUGCUCAGACUAGCCCUCCAGGACCUCAUCCACUAGACUUCCCAGUGCAUUCAUCCAAGGAGAAUAUCAGGGAAGGGAGAGGUCAAGCAUGAGAAAGACUGAUGUGGAAGUAAAGAAACCUGAAUUCUUGACCCCGCCCUGCUACUAGCCAGCCUUCUGAUAUCAGGUACACUUUUAUUUCAUGUAUUUAUCAAGCAUCCAGUACCUAGCCAAGCAUAGUACUGGCACUUCAGGAACAACACAGAUGAAUAAGAAAUAGGAUCUGUUUUUAAGAAGCCCAUGGGGAAGCAGACCCAUACAUAAAAUCUAAGCCACAAAAUAUUGUAGGAUCUACUAUGUAGGGUGCUUGAGGGUAGGUCCCAGGGGUCUCCAAGAAAUGCAUGAUUGAUGGUAACUGGUUUGCGGAGGAAAGGAUUGGCAUAGGCUCACCUCAGUCUUCCUGUUACCAUAACAAAGGCAGACUGCAGUAUCUAUAGCAUCAUUCUUCUAGAACUGUAAGUAUCUCUGAAUUUAUGUAAUUGGGGAACCACAGCACAGAAAUGAUGGGUAUUUUCCCAUAGUCCUAUGAAGAUUUUGUGGCAAGGCCAAGGCUGGGACAGAAGUAUUGGGACUCCUGAAACAGUGCUCCUUCCAUCAGCACUAAUUCAGUCUCGGUGCUGAGUUGCCUUACAAAGUUAAUUAAUUCAAACACGUCUGCUUAUUUUAUCCAAAACAGAACUUGAAAUAUCCACAGUGGUUCUCAGCUUGAACCUAAUUUUGAACAAAGAGAAAGAACUGUUCUGCAAACCCUCUCCAUUUUUCUCACAGCACAUGAUGAGCACUGGGGCUCUUUGCAGAAGUCCCUUAUGGUAAAAACAAAACAAAACAUAGUGCUCACUCCAAUAAACUUGCAGUCAACCCUAGCCCAGAAGCAAAAUCCCGUGCAGAGAAUACAAUCCCUUGUUCCUCACAAAUCUAAAAGGGAAAGAGAUUUGUGAGUAGAGCUUUCAGCUAUGCGAAUAGACCAUUGUUCAUCAGGCAUCUCAUUGUAAAUUCUACUUUAAAACUUGUUUGUUUCCACUGAACCCCUGAAUUUUUUACUUGUGUACCUAUUUGUAACAAAAAGGAGAAUUCCAAAAGCACAAAGGAAAUGUAGAGGAUGAGAAAGAGAGAGGGAGAGGG